rnacentral:rRNA from 1 species
AUUGAACGCUGGCGGCAGGCCUAACACAUGCAAGUCGAGCGGAUGAAGGGAGCUUGCUCCUGGAUUCAGCGGCGGACGGGUGAGUAAUGCCUAGGAAUCUGCCUGGUAGUGGGGGAUAACGUCCGGAAACGGGCGCUAAUACCGCAUACGUCCUGAGGGAGAAAGUGGGGGAUCUUCGGACCUCACGCUAUCAGAUGAGCCUAGGUCGGAUUAGCUAGUUGGUGGGGUAAAGGCCUACCAAGGCGACGAUCCGUAACUGGUCUGAGAGGAUGAUCAGUCAACUGGAAACUGGGAACGGGUCCAGCUCCCACGGGAAGGAACAGGGGGGAAUUAUUGACCAUGGGGCGAAACCCUGUCCAAGCAAUGCGGGGUGGGUGAAGAGGGCCUCCGGAUGGUAAAGCCCUUUAAGUGGGGAGAAAGGCAAGAAAGUUAAUCCCUGCUUGUUUGACCGUAACAACAGAAAUAAGACCCGCUUAAUUCGGU